GACGUAGGGCGCGAGCGUUGUCCGGAUUUAUUGGGCGUAAAGAGCUCGUAGGCGGCUUGUCGCGUCGAAUGUGAAAUCUCAGGGCUCAACUCUGACAUUGCAUUCGAUACGGGCAGGCUAGAGUUCGGUAGGGGAGACUGGAAUUCCUGGUGUAGCGGUGAAAUGCGUAGAUAUCGGGAGGAACACCAGUGGCGAAGGCGACUACCUGGCCUGUUCUUGACGCUGAGGCGCGAAAGCUAGGGGAGCAAACGGG
rnacentral:rRNA from 1 species